GGGGCGUAGCCGAUUGAUAAGGCGACGGGCUUUGGUCCUCGAAGGCGAAAGUUCGAUCCCUUUCGUCUCCCC
rnacentral:tRNA from 1 species